CUUCUGAGUAUCCGCUAGCCUGCUAGGAGAUGUGUGUGAGGAGCACCUGGCUCAGCCAUGCUUGAAUUUCUCUCACACCCAGGCCCAUGGGGCGCCCUCCUGCCUCUGCAGAGACUGUGCUGAUAUCCCUCUGACGGACAUCCGGCCCAGCAGAGGCUGGCUGGCGGUGUUGCCACUGAGCAGCCCUGCGCAUGGGUGUAAGGCACCGUAAGGCGAUGGAGCGGCUGGAGGAAGCUGUGCCUCUGGGACGCUGUGGAGGACGGGGCGGAGCAGGCUUCCCUGACUCACUGUGCAGGAGAUGCUAAGGCCAUUAAGGUCAUGGAGGUGGCUCUGGUGGCCUUGCAGGAAGAGGGAGCAGCCCGUCUUUGUGCACACUGGAAGAGUCUCACUAGGCUGAGCUUUGGACUUGGCCACUUCUGGGUGGAGAGGAACCACGGCACCCAGGCUGACCAGGACCCAGGAACAAAGCCACAGCAGCCACGAAGUUCGAGACCCUGCCUCGAUCAGCCAGGAGCUCCGUCCAGUGAGACCCAUCAGGACCAAAGUGGUGAGCUGCAGACAUAAACUCAAAUUCCAGAGUCUCCUUCUAACCAGCUCAUAAAUGAAUUCCUAAAUGCUGACUGCGCCAGAAGACCCAGCGUUGGAAAACCACUUGGCAGGAAUCAUCCAUUUCAAAAUGAGAUGAACUGCUCUCUUUAGCCUCAUUGAAAACUUCACAGAAACGCCAGAUUUCCAUAAACACAGGUUCCCUUGAAUUUCCAGGGCUUUGAUUAACUGGUGGACCAGGGAGCCUCACAAAUACAGAUUUGUGAGCAAUAUUCAGUUUGGACGAGCUGGGCGCUGGAAACCAACCCCAGCCUCCCCUCUCCUGUCGAAGACGUUAACUCUUCCCUGCUCUCUGAGGCUCCUUUUGUUAUGAGGAGUUUGGAGAAUUAAGAAUUAGUCUCUGGUUUUAAAGCGUGGCGAUAUAUCAUCUUGCUGUCGUGCAUGUCAUCAUCUGUUAAGCUUUUUAUGACUGAUUGGCAGCCCGCUGCUUUAUAGUGUGGCUUUAAUGCCCCCGAGGAACGAGAGAAUUAAAAAAUACACUUCUCUGUCUGCUGAAAAGUCAUAAAGCUGUGGCUUCUACUAAGUAAAGAGAUUGCUUGCGAAGACAUAUUUUCUUUUUAAAAUGUGUUUUCAUUUUUCUUCCUACUGCCGCCCUUCUCCUCUGCCACUGGCACACGAAGCGAACAGAUUCACA